GGGAUUCCGAGCGCUGCGCUCGAGCUGGGAGUCUGACAGUGAGGAGCCGAGUGAGGAGCUCAGUGAGGAGCUCGCCCACCGCAGCCCAGCCUCGGGGUUUUCUCCAGGGUUCGCCCUGUGGAGCGACUGGCUUCCUCCCGGAGUUUGUCGUCGGGCGUUUUCAGUCCGCUGGAUACUCUUUUAAGCGGAUUUGCCACAGGAGGUUCACGCGUGGAGACCAUGGAGAGAACGCAGUCCCUCCUUCCAUGUCACGGAGACCUUCUGUGGAGUUUGACUUGGUGGAUGUCUGCUCUGAGGAGGAGGAGGAGGAGGAGGAGGAGGAGGAGGACGAGAGGAUACCCCUGUCUGUCUGUCUGUCUGUCUGUCUGCCACUUCAAACGGAUUCCCAGCCAGCCCGCUGCGGAUUCUCGGCUCUCUGGCGAAGCGCGCUCUCGCUCUGGAAUUCUCUGGAAUUCUCCGGCUCUCUCGGGAUUAAAAUGCCGCUUCUUGCGUGGAUUUUGUGGCUCAUUCUUUAGGCUCCCGCCUCAGAAAUGGAUGUUACCUCAGCAGCGCUGACCGUUGAAGUGCAGCGCCUUUGGAGUACGGCGAGGACAUGACGCUCCAGGUGGACACGCGGACAGCUGUGGAAGCCUGAUUCCGGGAAAGCAGACACACUUGCUUGCUUCACGCGGAUUCUUGUGGUACUGGAUACGUCACUUCUCAGGCAGCACAGAGAGGUGCUCAGGAGACAUCUGAUGGACUUUGAGGAGUGAUGGACAGGUACACUGUUGAUUUAAUCACCAGUACACCCGUGGAUUUACAGAGAAUCACGUUCUCCACCACGUUUCACUUUCUCACCACCUGCUGGGGAUCUGGGAUUUGUUUUAUUGGGACAUACCAAACUGGAUUACCUGAUUUUGUUUUUUCAUGGCAUCAGGGUUGUGGAUUCAACACUCACUUUUUUUGGACUAUGAUGAACUUCACUGUCCUGUGAUGAAUGUUGAUGAAGUGUUUUAAUCCAGUGGUGCUGAAUAGGGUAAAGGAAACAUAGCUGGGAACUCCACAAUUCACUGGUUGCUUAUAACAUUAGUCUGCCAUUCAGGCAGGAUGGGAAGAUUUCACCUCAACGUUUCAUCUUCUUUUACUAAAUAUGACUUUGUUGAUCUUGUCGUGUGUACUGUGUUUGGUAGCCUUGCUACCAAAAAAAGUAAAAGCAGAAAAAUACAGUAUGUGCCAACAACAGA